rnacentral:lncRNA from 1 species
AUAUACAUAUAUAUAUGUAUAUGUAUAUACAUAUAUAUAUAUAUACAAGUCCAGCUGCUAUACUCUUAUGAGUACGAUCGUUUUCGUACUCAUAAGUCAUUUUCGAUGAUAAAACUUUUAAAUCAAUGAUCCAUAUCGUUAAAUAUGGCUUAAAGCAUUUGAAGCAUUCGAAACUUUUAGGUACUCUUUGGUUCGAGAACAAGCUAUUUUUGUUUAUUUUUGGAAUAGGUAUAACUUCUGGGAUAUAUAUAAAUUAAUUCAAUUUUGUGUUUGAACAAGAAUCGAGAUAUUUAGAGAAAUAAGAAAUAUUACGUUUGGUUAAUUGGGUUGGAAUAGUAGGGAUAAGAGUAAUUAUGAUUGAAAAUAAAAAUAAUUUAUCUAAAUAAUAAGCAUCUAAAUAUUAGUAAAAUAAUAUUUUAAUAAGUUAAUAAAUAAAUUAAUAAAAAUUACUUUAUAAAUUAAUUAAAAUCUAUUACUAUAUAUAAAAAUAGAACCCUUAAUGAACCCUAUGUGAGAAGCUGACACGUGGCUUUCUAUAUGCUUGCCACGUGUCAAACUCAAAUAUGGAUAUUUAAAAUUAUUGAUUCCGAAAUCAAUAAUCUAACGGUCAAACUCAAAUUUCGUAUUGGCAAAUAAUUAAUUAUUUAAAAUUAUUGGUUGAGAAAUACGCAAUAAUCUGUUGCGAAUUAUUUGAAAGCAGAAUAUAUAAAAGUUAUCUCAAAUUUAAAAUAUUGGAUAUUUUAUUUAAAUUAUUAUAAAAUAUAUUAAUUUUUAGUCAAUAAAUCUAAUUGACUGACGAAUACAAAAUAUCUGUCACUUUUUUUUAUCUAAAUUGCCCUCAAAUAGUGCGUAUCCAAUUUCACUUUUUAUAUGCAUGUCAUAUCUUCUAAUAACCGUCGUCCACAUAUAUCAUAUUUUAUCACAAAUAAUAUUCGCAUAUCUUAAUUUUUUGGCAAUAAAUUACUACUUAGUUAAUUAUUUGAAAUGAUUGGUUGAAAAUUUCUGGACAUAAAAAUAUUAGUAAAAAAGGAUAGAGACAUUUUUGGAAAGAGAAAAAAAUUCAAAAUUCACGUUUUAUAAAAAAUUAAUAUCUUUUACUAUAUUAUUAAAAAUCACAUAUAAUGAAGGAAAUUUUAUUUCAAAGUUAAUUCACGUCUUAUAAAAAAUUAAUAUCUUUUACUAUAUUAUUAAAAAUCACAUAUAAUGUUACGCCCCGGGGUCCCUUUGAGUUUAAAAGAUAGCGGAAAAGCGUCUGAAUUUUUUUUUUUGAAAAUCUGACCCCAGAGUAUGCCAGACCCGCCACAAAUACAGAGAUUCCACUGUUCACACGGACAGAGUCUCCCCUGUAUUUGCACGGCGUCGCACAAGUACAACAGUACAAACAGGAUACAACCACAACUAAAUGAAUAUAGAAAUCACCAUACAUUCAUACAUUCACCAUUCACAUCACAGAUUUGCAUUCAAUGUCUAAAUAUAAAUUCAUAGAAAAUCUUUUAAAAACUGUUCCUUACACAGGAAUCUUUAUUCUUUAAAAACGCUACCACGAGGGGUAGAAAACCUUUUAUUUUACAAAAUCCAGAAAUCCACAUUUUCAAAUGUAAAUAAAUACUGAACUACAUAAACCAACUAAACUAUACAUCGACCGAAAUAAGAAGGGUAAGAAACUAAACCGAACAACCUGGGUCGG